rnacentral:rRNA from 1 species
AUGCGCCUUCUGGCGCACAUCCAUCAGCCACAUCCUCUGCACACCCCGACCUCAUCCCCGCACCCCAGGAGGUCGAGGACCGCAAGGACUUCGGCGAGAUGGAGGGCAAGCGUCGCCUGCGUUAAUCGGCGAGAUGGUCGGCUGCACCACGACGGCGACGGGCCGACGCUGGUGGACUUGGAGCGCAGGUGGCGGAUCAAGCUCGUGGCGGCCAAGGGCGUGCCAUACCUGCAAGAGGACUGUCAUUCUAAGGUCAUCCAUCGCGACAUCAAGGCGGCCAACAUCCUUCUCGAUGACAACUUUGAGCCCAAGGUAAAAAUGCAUGACGGGAUCAUGUUGUUUGGUUGGAAGAUAUAUUCUGAAUGUUCAUCUCUGAUUAUGAUCGAGCUUUUCUGUCUCGUGCAAGUUGCCGACUUUGGGCUGGUCAAGAUCCAGCAUGGAGAUGACAACCAUGUUUCUACCCGGGUGAUGGGGACUUUUGGGAAAAUAACCGACCGGUCCGACGUCUUCUCCUUCGGCCUCGUGCUUCUGGAGAUCAUCACCGACAAGAGACCAAUCCUGGCCGACGAGCCCAACAAGGACGACGAGACUCUGGUCUCUUGGGUCAGUGAGCAGCAUCAGGAGGAGGAGCUCAAGCACGACCACCAAGAGGCACCACCGCAGCAGCAGGAUUCUAUUUAUGUAGUCAUAGCGAUUUGCUUGCUUGAUGACAUUGAAGUUGAUGUCUUGCCACAUCCUGGCUUUAAGAAACAUGACAUGUUAAGCCAUUGUGUUGUUAUAAUGAGUGUGAUGCGUAUUGACCUUCACCUCGUUCUUUCUCUCGCAGACUCGAAGGAGACCAUAUGCAAGGCACCUCCUCUUCGGUUGUGA